AGAUUGAACGCUGGCGGUAUGCUUAACACAUGCAAGUCGAACGGAAACGAUACUAGCUUGCUAGUAGGCGUCGAGUGGCGGACGGGUGAGUAACGCGUAGGAAUCUACCUGAUAGUGGGGGAUAGCCCGAAGAAAUUCGGAUUAAUACCGCAUAAUCUAUUCGUAGUAAAGUGGGGGACUUUCGAGCCUCACGCUAUCAGAUGAGCCUGCGUAAGAUUAGCUAGUUGGUAGGGUAAAAGCCUACCAAGGCGACGAUCUUUAGCUGGUCUGAGAGGAUGAUCAGCCACAUCGGGACUGAGACACGGCCCGAACUCCUACGGGAGGCAGCAGUGGGGAAUAUUGGACAAUGGGGGCAACCCUGAUCCAGCAAUACCGCGUGUGUGAAGAAGGCCUGAGGGUUGUAAAGCACUUUCAAUUGUGAAGAAAAGCUAGUGGUUAAUAGCCAUUAGCCUUGACAUUAACUUUAGAAGAAGCACCGGCUAACUCCGUGCCAGCAGCCGCGGUAAUACGGAGGGUGCAAGCGUUAAUCGGAAUUACUGGGCGUAAAGCGUGCGUAGGCGGUUUAUUAAGUCAGAUGUGAAAGCCCCGGGCUUAACCUGGGAACUGCAUUUGAAACUGGUCAACUAGAGUAUGGUAGAGGAAAGUGGAAUUUCUGGUGUAGCGGUGAAAUGCGUAGAUAUCAGAAGGAACAUCAAUGGCGAAGGCAACUUUCUGGACCAAUACUGACGCUGAGGUACGAAAGCGUGGGUAGCAAACAGGAUUAGAUACCCUGGUAGUCCACGCCGUAAACGAUGAUAACUAGCCGUUGGGGGGAUUUACCCCUUAGUGGCGAAGCUAACGCGUUAAGUUAUCCGCCUGGGGAGUACGGCCGCAAGGUUAAAACUCAAAGGAAUUGACGGGGACCCGCACAAGCGGUGGAGCAUGUGGUUUAAUUCGAUGCAACGCGAAGAANCCUUACCUGGUCUUGACAUCCUGAGAACUUUCUAGAAAUAGAUUGGUGCCUUCGGGAACUCAGUGACAGGUGCUGCAUGGCUGUCGUCAGCUCGUGUCGUGAGAUGUUGGGUUAAGUCCCGUAACGAGCGCAACCCCUAUCCUUAUUUGCCAGCACAUCAUGGUGGGAACUAUAAGGAGACUGCCGGUGAUAAACCGGAGGAAGGCGGGGACGACGUCAAGUCAUCAUGGCCCUUACGACCAGGGCUACACACGUGCUACAAUGGGAAGGACAAAGAGCCGCGAAGCCGCGAGGUGUAGCUAAUCUCAGAAACCUUUUCGUAGUCCGGAUUGGAGUCUGCAACUCGACUCCAUGAAGUCGGAAUCGCUAGUAAUCGUAGAUCAGAAUGCUACGGUGAAUACGUUCCCGGGUCUUGCACUCACUGCCCGUC
rnacentral:rRNA from 1 species